ACGAACGCUGGCGGCGUGCCUAAUACAUGCCAGUUGAGCGCUGAAGGUUGGUACUUGUACCAACUGGAUGAGCAGCGAACGGGUGAGUAACGCGUGGGGAAUCUGCCUUUGAGCGGGGGACAACAUUUGGAAACGAAUGCUAAUACCGCAUAAAAACUUUAAACACAAGUUUUAAGUUUGAAAGAUGCAAUUGCAUCACUCAAAGAUGAUCCCGCGUUGUAUUAGCUAGUUGGUGAGGUAAAGGCUCACCAAGGCGAUGAUACAUAGCCGACCUGAGAGGGUGAUCGGCCACAUUGGGACUGAGACACGGCCCAAACUCCUACGGGAGGCAGCAGUAGGGAAUCUUCGGCAAUGGACGAAAGUCUGACCGAGCAACGCCGCGUGAGUGAAGAAGGUUUUCGGAUCGUAAAACUCUGUUGGUAGAGAAGAACGUUGGUGAGAGUGGAAAGCUCAUCAAGUGACGGUAACUACACAGAAAGGGACGGCUAACUACGUG
rnacentral:rRNA from 1 species